ensembl:lncRNA
AGAAUCUCUGGAAUGUUACGUAACCAAGAAAGCUUUUUGACUCUGUUUCACUUCUGCAGGUGCAGUAUUUUUCCCCUUGCCAUGCUUGUGACAUGUACAGGAGGAAACUGUCCAAUGCGGCACUUGGGAAUGACGGACAUCUAGUCAACAUGUUUGUUGCUGUUUGAAGAGUCGCGGAUUGUUGAUACAAUGACUCCUCUGCUGUUUCAUAAAGGUCAUGUGUCACAUACAUCUUGUCUGCAGAGGCUCAUCCACCUAAAGGUGAGCACUUGAGGAAGAACAAGAUGUUUAUCUGCAUGCAUUUGUUGGGAAUUGGGAAUGGAAC